AUUUAGUGAUUGCUGCGGGAAGGAUCUGUUGUUCCUGCAGUGAAGAAGCACUGCUGAUGUGUGACAUUCACAGAAAUCCCACAGGAAACAGACAGGAAGAAGCAAGUCCCAUCUCCCUCCUCCAGCCUUGCAGCUGCCUGACUGUGCUUAUGAGCAGAGCCUUACCUUGAGGCAACAAGUAAAGCAGAGACGUGGAGUGAAGAACCCCAGCUCUAACCUCAGACAGCAGAGAAUAGAAGGAAUGUAAUUAUUACAUAUGAAAAAGGCCAACAUCUUUUAUAUGAAGGAAAAAUUAGUGGUAAAGAUGAAAGGAACGUUUAUCAUGUCCCCAGCUCUAUCUCCAGUACGUAUAAUAGUGCCACACACAUCAAGUGAUCGACGACACAUUUGUUGAAAAAUGAAUACCUAAUACCUGGAGGAGCUUCUUUGUUUACCAAGAUAUACAGGGGUUAAAUGCAUUGGAUGUUGUAAAAGAUGUUAUUCUUGGUAACAGCUGUAUGAGUUUUCCAAGGAUGUCUGGAAAUAAUGCACAGAAUCAGUGUGCCAUUGUUUACCUGAGACUUCAUUAACGAGCACAGAUGGCACCUCCUCUCAGAAGACUUCCUAUUAAACAGAAUUCCUCAGCUGUGAUCUGAAAGCUUUUUCAUUUGUGUCUCCUUCAAUGGUGAAUGUGCACCCUAAUGGCAUGAUUUAACAGUCUUGGGCAAAGGAAAAAUACAGCUUUCAGAGUCCCAGCCCCAGAAUCACAAAGCAUACAAAAGAUGAAUCAAAAGAGGGUCUAAAGGAGAGUGGUAUCACAAGAAAGAAAAAUAUCCAGGUCCUAGGAUCUCUUAGGGGGAAGCCGUUGGACUAACACCCACCCUGGACUGUGACAUGAGUAAGAAUGAAUACUUACUGUGUAAAGCGGACCUAAACCUAAGUCACAGGAUAGCAAGGAUCCAAGGAGAGAAGACAGUAAUUCCCAAACCUGACUGAUCAUCAAAAUCUGGACAACGUGAAAAUCUGACAUUAGCCCUGAGCUAACAUCUGCUACUAAUCCUCCUCUUUCUGCUGAGGAAGACUGGCCCUGAGCUAACAUCCAUGCCCAUCUUCCUCUACUUUAUACGUGGGAUGCCUGCCACAGUGAGGCUUGACAAGCGGUGCCAUGUCCACACCCAGGAUCCGAACCGGCAAACCCCCGGCCACCGAAGCGGAACGUGCACACUUAACCACUAUGCCACCAGGCUGGCCCCUCUACAUUUUUACAUAAGAUUUCUCUAACGGAAUCAGAUGGGAGUCUGGGGAACUACAAUUUCUCUGCACAUCUGAGGUACAGCAUGAGUGAAUUUUACGACCCUGCAACAUGAACAAAGCAUAUAAAGGGCGAGGAAAACUGUGAACUAAAGCAAGAAAG
rnacentral:lncRNA from 1 species